rnacentral:lncRNA from 1 species
CGCAUUUGAGGAUGCAGUCACUGUGGCGCAAGGGAAGGGAACAGAAAAUACAAGAGGGGCUGGCUGCCUGUGUGUCCCAUGCUAGUCACAAUAUCAAGAAAACCAAGAUGGAUCCCGGCAUUUGACAGCCCUUGGCAGGAGGGGAUGGACACACUCCUGGGACCCAGGUCUUCCUGGUAGGAAGAUGCUGACUUCCUGAGAUUGAAGGCAUUUGGGGAAUGGUUGGUGAGUGAUUAUGUAAUCAAGCCUGCGUAUUGUUGUGUGGUGUGGGUAGCAGGUCUGGGGACAGACCCUGGUCCUGUCCAAGCCCUCUCCCCUCCCUAUUCCCUGGCCUAUUCUCCAUGCAUGGGAAGCCUAUGACUCCAGCCUCCACUGGCCCCUUCUGUGAGGAAAAGGGCCCUUAAGCAUCAGCCAGAGUUGUCUCUGGCACUGAUAGCCAACAACUGUGUUUAAGGCACUGUUCUCUGUCACCCAGAUGACUUCUUAUGGCUUCCUCACUGUAAUAGAGCUCGGGGAAUGGAGAAGAUAUCACAUGGUCCUGUGACCCUUUGACAAUUCCUAGGACCAAACCAAACCCAGAAGGGUGUAAAGAGAGAGCCAAGGGCUCCCCUGAGUUGUUCUCCAGAACCCAUAAAAGAAGGAGAGAAACAAAUCCCCAAAAUUGUCCUCUGACCUCUAUAUGCACACUCUGGCAGGCAUUGCAGACACCAGCCACACAUCAUACAUACACAUGAAAUAAAAAGGAGCCAGUACCACCAGAAAUCAGGCAAUACUUCCAAAUCAGAACAACAGAGGUAAGGGAAGUGCCACAAGACACUGUCUCAACUGCAGGCCACAGAGCAAGCAGCCAUGCUUCAGUCUGAUACAGGGUGUAUCCAGGAAGUAUAUGGCCCCAAACACAUCUUUAGCAAACCCCCAAAAUCAACCCCCAAAAAAAAAAUGACUGAGUAAAUAAACAGGAAGAGAAACCCCUCUUCCUUACAGGAGAUUCCCUGUCAGUGCUGUCCACUCCUCCAGGAGGUAGAGUUCAAGACCCUUGACUCACUUACAAGUUCACAGACCAGGGUAUAGAAGGUCAGGGGCUCUACCUUUUCUCCCAAGGCAGCUCAUUACAGUUGCCCUUUGGCGUCUGAGUGGACAGCUUCCCCUCACAGGCACUGGACCAUCUACAUGACAUAAAAGCAAUGGCACUAGAUGUGCCACAGUUACCAUGGUGAUAGACAGGAUGAUGAGUGAUUUGCCUGGCUGUGUGGGGAAAAGAUGAUUUAUAUCCUAGACACAAUGCUACCUACAUCCACUCCAGUAGUGACACACAUGACAGGCCAAAAGCCUGGAUGCAGUCCUGAGGCGAAGAGUUUCACGGAAACUUAGUCUCCUGGAACUGUGGCAUUCCAUAGCACAUAUGCUCCAAUUUUGUCCUUGCGAAUGGAUCUGUGUGCUUCCUUUCAGUAUUGUUUUGUUAUAGGUGCGUCCAAGCAAUGACUUGCCAAAUACCUAAACAAAAUCGAACUUUGCUUCCUGACCUUCACCAAUGCUCUAGGUAGUCCUUGAGCCGACCCUGGGCUUGAAAUUCAGUAAGAAUGAUGCCUAUUCAGUGACAUUCAAAAUUGCCUCUAGUAUUGUAAGAGAGAUAGUGAAAGAAAUCAGGCUUUGCUAUCUACUGAGGCUGGCUCCUGACCUGUGGUUCUGGACAGUUUAGUCCUUUCUUGGAUCUCGAGAGAAUAAAUAAGAGAGGCCCUUCCAAAGGAGUGGUGUGGGAGUGAGGCCCUUCCAUGGGCUUUCUGGCCACUCAGAUCUGAGCUCAGAUACCUUCUGGGGUGUCAAGGCUGAGGCCCUAGGGACUGAACAUCUCAAAAUGAAGGUGGAAAGUAGCCUCCACCCUUACAGGGGACAGUGACUAGUGGAGACAGAAGCCACUGCACCUUGCCCAUUUCCCCUUCAGUUUUUCAUGGUGUUAGAAUAUAAUUUCCUUAUGGGCCCCAUAGGCCUUUCCUACAGGGAUGUCUUAUUCUCUAGAAACCCAGGAAACUGAGAGAGGGGUGAUGAACUGAGAGGACUUAGCUGAGCUUGUGUGGGAUGAAGGCUCUUUCUAGUAUAUGCUUGGCUUCCUGGGAAUGAACAAAGGAACUGGGGGAGGGAAAAGAACCUGACAGAAGGCUCCAGUCCUGCAUUCAUUAAGGGAUCUCCCAUUGGCAGCUUAAGAAACUGAAGGAAGAAUGUGGCUGGAAGUGUGAGGGCACUGGAUCCCUUGCAUAACAGCACCCAGGCAGUAAUAUCUUGUAAAAGGAGGCUUCCUGGAUUUACUUUAUAAAAUCUAAAUGCCAGAGGGAUAUGGUAGCACACUUCUUAAUCUCAACACUUGGGAGGCAGAAACAGGUGCUGAGUUCUCAAUGAGUUCAAGGUCAGCCUGGUCUACAUAGAGAUUCCAGGCUAGCUAGGACUAUAUAGUGACUCUUUCUCAAAAACAAAAGUUUCAUAACUCUAGGGCUGGAGGAUGGCUCAGUAGCUAAGAGCACUUGCUGCUCUUGCAGAGCAUCAGCAUGUGGCUGCCGGUACCCACAUCAGGGCUCAAACUGAGCUACAUAGCUGAGGUUUCCCUUCAGUUUCUUAUCCUCCUGUCUCAAUAUCUUCAGGACCAGAAUGAUAGGCAUGGGCCUGUCUGAUUAUUUCUUAAAACCAAUUCAUCUAUUCAGCCCUGAGAAGUGGCUCAUGUUGACUGUCAAUGAAAAAGAGACGAUGUCAGAGACUUUGAGAGAGCCAUUUUCUUCCCCUCCUGAACAGAAGGGGUCAGGUGUGACAGACUCUAGAACAGAGAAUCUGGUUCUGUGCAAGCAUGCCCUGCAACAGUCGAAGGUUUCAGAAACAAAUCCAUGCUCCAUUUUCUCAACUGAAGUCAAAAAGAGCAUUAGCAUCAUUGAAAGGCCAUCAGCCCCUGUGCUGUGGCCUGACAAUGCCAGACACUGCCAUCAAACAUCACUCCAGAUGUUUACACUUAACUGCCCCUGCCUACCAGAAACCACCCCAAAUCGCACAUGUCUCUACCAAGGAUAGUGGAGAGAUAUCAGUGAACACAUCACCCCAUGGACCUGGGCCUGAAGGUUUGUGGGAAAGUAAUGGAGGGCACUGACCUUGUUCUGAUGGUCCAGUUGGCCCCACCUAGCCAUGACUCAGAGCCACGCCAAUCCAAGCUUUCCUGACCAAGUUGGAUUGCCAGAUUUAAAGUCCAGCCAGAUGCCUUACAAAAAGUGGCUGAAGGGAGAAAGGAUUUCUAUUGGCUUGAAGUUCAAAUGCAGCCUAUCAUUUGGAAGGGCUGGUGCACCAGGAAGCAGAGAUGGUGCGGGUGUUCAGUUUCUUUCUCCUUUCCCCUUUUCAUUCUGUCUGGGACUCCUUCCCCUGGGAUAAAGUCACUCACACUCAGGUAGAUCUUCCCUCUUCAGUUACACCUCUCUAGAAACAUCCUCUCAGGGAGGAUGUCAGGGAGACUCUGUCUGUCAUUAAUGCCUCUGCGCCAGAGCAAGGGACAGAAGCAGUGAAGGGGGAAAUGAGAAGGGAGGAAGACUGCAGGCACGGAGGAGUCACCAGAAGAACAGCUGUCACUUUGCAGAGGACAGUCAGUCGGUUGAGAUCAGUCUUGAACAAUAACACGAUUCUCGGGAGCCUUAUUUCUAGAAAUCUGACUUUAAAUGACAGAGCUAGAGAGAUAGCUUUGUGUGCAAGUAUGAGGGCCUGGGAAUCCUCAGAACCCACAUAAAAACUGGAUUUAGUGUAGGAUCAGCUAUAAUCUCAGUGGUCUUCACCACUGACAGUGAAGUAGAUAGUGAAGAAGAAGAAGAAGAAGGUAUGAGGGAGAAACAGGAGAGGAAAUUCACAGGCCAAUGAGCCUGGCAUGCACAGCAUUAAGAAAACAAAUAGGCCCUGUUUCAAAGACAGAGGUUGCAAAGCAGCACCUAAGACUGGCCUCUGACCUCCACGAGUAUAGCAUGUAUGACCCCCACAGUUGUACAUGUGAAUGCAGUGCAAGCAAACUGCACGUGUCUAUCAUAUCAUGUAAAAUCUGUGAGAUUCCUUCAUAAGAAGUCCUCAGGAUCAGAGCUAAGCUCACUCCUGGAAGGAAAGGCCACUUAACAUGAAUGCAAUCCUGUCAAAGGAAAAGCCCAACCACAUGGCAUGUGAUUCCUGAACCCCAAACUCAUGGCUUUCUCAACUUCCUAAUUCCUGAGGCCAGCCUCUGUAGGAAUGUUUAACCCUCCCUCCAAAUGGUUUUUAAAGGAAAGACAAGCAAAACAAUGUGGUCAAGAGACAAUGUAAAGUAUAUUUUCAGAUGGGUGUUUUUAUUAAAAUGCUGUUCAUGCUUGCACAAGAGAAGACAAAAGAAAUCACUCAGGGUGCUUGUGUUUUAGGGAUGAGGGAUUCUUUAAAGCUUUGUUAUGGAUAGGCCAGGGGUCAGCUAUUCUAUGCCUGCGGGGUGGCUGCCUUCAGGAACAAGGCUGCAGCCAGCCUGAGAGAUGCUCAGUGCAUGUGCUGGUACUACACGAAGUCACAGAGCUUCCUCUUGCAGACUUGGCACCAUGUCUUGAAACAGCAAUCAGAAAGAAGAGAGUGGAUGUCUGCACUGGAUAGGUGGCUGUUGUGCUAGCCUCUUGUUCUCCAGGGCUAGUAGAGAUUGGGUCAUGAGUGCCAGCAGAGGAGGAGGCACAGAGAGCUCCAGGGAUCCUUACUGACUAGCUUCAGUGAUACCUUGUUGAGUCCUGGGACUCCCUGGGAAUAGGGGACAGCCACAUCCUGAUAGCCAAGCAGAACACAAAGGCAGUGGACAGGUCAUCCCAUGCCAUGAUAUGGAAGUUGGCAGGGUUUUGGACCUGUAUCUGAUCUAUAUGGAUCCAACUUUGAGGAGAUAGGGGAGGAAGGGAUGGAGGAGAGGAGAUUCAAGGCAAUCUAGCUACUGCAGAUGUUAAACACAGUGCCAAAGAUGUAGUGUUUUCUACUUAAAACUCAAACGUAUAGAAAGUCCUUCCAAGAGCCAAGCAGAUGGCUCAGCUGGUAAGAUGCCUACUGUACAGGUGAGGACCUGAGUUCAGAUUCCUUACCAUACAUGUCAAAACCAGAAGCAGCCCUACCUCUGUAAUCUCAGCCAGGGAGGCAGGAGGAGGCUGAUGCCUGGAGUUUAUCAGUCAGCCUGCACAUACACAAGUGUGUAGACAUACAACUCUGUCUGUCUCUGUCUCUGUCUCUCUCUCUGUCUCUGUCUCUGUCUCUGUCUCUCUCUCUCUCUCUCUCACACACACACACACACACACACACAUCUACAUCUACAUACCCACAUAAACAUGUACAUACACACACACACAUUUCUGGCUUCCUUACUUAUAUCAUCUCCAUAGAUUCUCAGUUUAUCAUUUUAGUUAGACGGAAGCUAUUCUAUAUCGUAUUCAGCAAUAAUUUAUCUUUUUUUUCCAGGAGCUUAUGCAAAAACCUUAAAAUUUUCUGAAGCCAAAAAGAGUAAGGAGGACCUUACUUAGGCUCAGAGCUACUCUGAACAGCUUCGGGUAGGUGGAUGUACCCAUGUGGAUGUACUUUUAUGUUCAUUCUGUAAAUCCCUCCUGAUGUUUACUGAAACUAGUUUAAAGAUGGCUCAGGUGAACAGUCUAGUCAGAACUCAAACUUACAGACUAGGCUUCCACCUAUGCCCACCAUUCUUUUUUUUUUUUUUAAUUGGGUAUUUAUUUCUUUUACAUUUC